GGACUGAUAAAAGCAUUUCGCUAAUUUAAUUAGAACUAAUUUGGCUAAAACUGAAUUGUUAUAGUGACCACCAACAUUUUUGAUGACAAAGCAUGAUCUGCCUCCACAUCUACUGAGCUAACGUUAAGUGUAUUUUAAUUGAAAUAGACUGAUUCACAUCUUACCCUAAGUCUUUUACAUAAUGAAAGGAUGAGUGUAAAGGAAACAAUGCUGCCAUUUGCAAGAAGUUCGUAGAUCUUUUUUCCUUGCUUAUCAUAUUGUUCCAGGCAUGCAGAAGAUCAUUUACACUGUCCUCAGGAAAAAAAGGUACAAUAAGAAGGACUAAAAUCUCCUUUCUUACUAUUGCUGAAAGCACAAAGACCUACAGCUGUUCAUAUUCAGUGACAUCCUGAUCUCUGUUGCAUCAAGCCUACAUGACGUAGCUUUACACCAGCUCUCCAAGUUUCAUGCAGCAGUUUCAGCAGACUCCUCAUACUAGAAACCUUCCAAGGGGACUUCAGAUGUGAAAACACAGAGAAGACCAAAGAAACUCUUCAUACUUUAUUCAGAAAUAUAAGGGUUGAGAGAAAAACAGCUCAGCCAGGACAUAACAGUGCCUUUGCCUCAGAGGCAAACUCACUUAUCUGUUUCAUCAUAAAGUACCAAACUGUUAGUGUUAUAAAGAAACAACAGGGAAGUAAAAAUAAGAAAACAAAGAGAAUAAGAAAUUUGAAAAAUGAAGGGAAAACGUGAUACAUUACAGUGAACAGGAGAUGAGAAAAUAUUCUUAUGUAUCAGCACAUAGCCUUUUACUAAAGAAAAUUAGGAUGGCCAUAGAAUUUGGUCUAAUUAUACACAAAAUGUAUAGAUUAAGUGAUUACUUUUACAUGGCAAUUUUG
rnacentral:lncRNA from 1 species